rnacentral:rRNA from 1 species
ACCCGCUGAACUUAAGCAUAUCAAUAAGCGGAGGAAAAGAAACCAACAGGGAUUGCCUCAGUAACGGCGAGUGAAGCGGCAAGAGCUCAAAUUUAAAAGCCGACGUAGCUUUAAGAGACGUCCGCAUUGUAAUUUGAAGAGGCAUUCUCGGGUCGGGGCUCAGGCCUAAGUUCCUUGGAAGAGGGCGUCGUGGAGGGUGAGAACCCCGUUCGCGGCCUGCUGUCGACCUUUCCCCGAUCCACACGAGGUGCCAUCGAAGAGUCGAGUUGUUUGGGAAUGCAGCUCAAAGCGGGUGGUAAAUUCCAUCUAAAGCUAAAUAUUGACGGGAGACCGAUAGCGAACAAGUAGAGUGAUCGAAAGAUGAAAAGCACUUUGGAAAGAGAGUUAAACAGCACGUGAAAUUGUUGAAAGGGAAGCGCUUGAGACCAGUCACGGACCGAGGCGAUCAGUGGGACGUCCCUCUCGGGGGAGGAACCGCGCACUCGCUUUUCGGGUUUUCCGGGUCAACAUCGGUUGGGACGGUAUCAGAAAGGUCGCGGGAACGUGGCUCCCUUCACGGGGAGUGUUAUAGCCCGUGGCGUCAAAGUCGCCAGUUUCGACCGAGGACCGCGCUCGUCUUUUUCGAGCAAGGAUGUUGACGUAAUGGUCCC